GUAAGGGUAAAUCAGUUUACUAUCUUUGUUUUGUUACCUUAGACAGAGACAUCCUGGCCUCCAUGCAGAGGAAUGUGUGGAUGGACAUAUAUUUAAGGAAGACACUAAACCAGAAAAUACUACAUUACACCCUCUUAAAAGACUUCUAAGAUUGUUGUCAUGCCUACCACUGACAUUCAGAUGAUGUGUAUUCUUGAUUGUGAUUUCAUGUUUGGAGCUGAUGAAGGAACCCAGGAGAAGAACAUAUGCCUGAGAAGAAGAACUAGUGUGGAAUUGUCAGCCAGGUUUUUGGUGAGUGCUCAGACUCCUUCCUGAUCCGGCACCACAUUUACUACAGUGGACAGAUGUUCUAGUCUCUGAUGAGGAGUUGCUAGCUGUAAGGAAGUACCUGGAAUGGGCUCCACUGCAUGAGGUUUGAAGUCUCCAGAGCAGCAAGGAGAGUGGGGAGUAGAACUCAUCAUCUUUAGGUCACUCAUCCCCGAUGGAUUGUUCCCAACCUUAGUAUACAGACAUGGAUGGUUGAACACAAACCUGUCAGGCUGACAACGCAAUAGACAUCUACUAAAGUCCUUGGAACCAUGUUCAGAGUGCUGCACAUCCUCCUAAAGAUGCCACGGAUGACAUGGUUCCUUGUGAUUGUUGUUCUCUUCUUGUUGUUGCUGUUUUCUUUUAACUUUUGAAGAGGAUACAUUAUUAGUCUGUUGCUAUGUUAGUCAUCUCCUGGCAUUAGAAACCAACAUGCCACUGCUUAAAUGUUUUACAUUUCCUACUCUUUUUGGAAAACACAAUGUAUGCACAUCAUUUUUUCCUAUUGUUUCAAAGACAUACCACUAUGUAAUUCAACUUUACAAUUGGAAUCAUUUUGACCAAUAUUCACAUGAAUAUAAAUUUUAUGUGUAAA
rnacentral:lncRNA from 1 species